GACGAACCGUGCGAACGUUGUUCGGAAUCACUGGGCUUAAAGGGCGCGUAGGCGGUCAAUCCAGUCGGGGGUGAAAUCUUGCAGCUUAACUGUAAAAGUGCCUUCGAUACUGAUUGACUCGAGGGAGGUAGGGGCAGGUGGAACUUCCGGUGGAGCGGUGAAAUGUGUUGAUAUUGGAAGGAACGCCGGUGGCGAAAGCGACCUGCUGGAUCUCUUCUGACGCUGAGGCGCGAAAGCUAGGGGAGCAAACGGG
rnacentral:rRNA from 1 species